ensembl:lncRNA
GCCUCACACGACCACGCCGUCACACAUCGCACAGAAACAGCCGCCACGGCAAAAGCUGCUGGAGGGGGAACAGCUGACCCUGCAGAAAAAGAUACGAGUUCUGCAGCUGCUGAGAAACCCGGUAAGCCGGGUCAGAGAGCUCACAGAAGCAAGGCUCCUGUCCCCCACAGGGUAAGAACCAAACACAAGGCUCCGGGACACACCAGGACACACCGGGACACACCGGGACACACUGGGACACACCGUGACACACCAGAAUACAGGGAUACACUAGGACACACAGGGACACAGCGACGCCCGCAUACACCUGGACACACCAGGAUAUAACAGUACACACCAGAACACAACUGGAUACACAGGGACGCCGGGACACACAGGGACACACGGGGACACACCAGGAUACAGGGAUAUACUAGGACACACCGGGACACACCGGGACACAUCGGGACACACCAGGACACACAGCGACGCCGGGACACACCGGGACACAUCGGGACACACAGGGACAGACAGCGACGCCGGGACACGCUCUUCUUCUGCCUUCUGAGCUCGUUGUAACGGCUGCAUUCAUCAGAUCGACCCAAACAUUUCCAUCAAUGAGUCGCCACAUUUGUCAGAAGCAUUAGUUCAGACAUUUCUGAGACCCCAAAACAUAAUCAGAUUGAAAUUCAAGAUAAUUCAGAGGGUGGAUGUAUUUAGUUUUCUAAUGAUGUUUGGUGAUAGGCAUGAGAAACAGGCUCAAGAAGUCGACGUUCAGCUUCAUCUUCUUUAGAGUAAUGUUUUGCUCUCAAACAGAAGAAGGUAACUAAUGCAGAACUAACUAAUGCACAAAUCAAAUCCUCAAAUGCUCCUAACUAGUCUGAGUUUCAGCGUUUUUCAUUCUGCCAGAGAGCUGCACACACGUCUGUAAAUACAAGUAAACUUAAAGGGCGCGUAGCUUUUUAAACUGGAAUGAGACACCGUCUACUUUUUCUUCUGUUUCCAUUAAAACAUGUUUAUUUAUUUGGCAGAAUCCAAAUCAAAGAUCAAAUCCGUCAAAUGCGCAGAGAAAGGCUGCAGGGAAUCAAAGGCACUUUGGUCCACAGCUGAUCAGCCAGUACCAUCAGUACCAUGUGCAGUUAGAUGCUUUUCAGAGGAGGAACACAGAUGGCACGCCUGCACCUCCUCCUCCUCCUCCUCCUCCUCCACCUCUUCCACAGGAGGAAGUGAUGGAUGUGGUGCUGCAGCACGAGGAGCAACCACCUCUUCCUGCAGAGCCAUACCAACGGUGAGCUGCAAACGUUUGAAAAACGAUCAACCCAUCAGUGGGGAUUUGUUUCUGGAAGCAGAGCAGUGAGGGUUCUGCCGGAACCUCACCAAGCUUUGAUGGUUUUGGUGUCUCAGUGUGGCUGCAGCUCGUGAAGAAUACCUCCAGAGGAGGCAGGAGGCCAACCUGUACAAGCUGAGAGCAGAGAAACAGCUGGUGAGGAGACCGGGACGCAUCUGAACCCCCAUGGGUGCUUUUCCUUGUUCCUGUGCAAACAUGAAGUCCUCUGUUCUGCUGACUCUCUGCAGGGAUUUCUGCUGUUUUGUUUUGUUGCACACAUCAGCGCUUUGCCCUCUUACCCUAUUGAUUUUUUAUAAAUAAGCAGAAAAAUCUACCAAUGGGGUAAGAAAAUAAUUGGUCUUACCAAUAAGCUGUGUUUUCUCAAAGUACCAUUAUUUUACUAUUGUAAAACCUAAAAGCAACAGUCUCAUCCUAAUCAUCCUCAUCCCUGGACAAACGCAGCUAUCACACGUUUUGGGAUGACUUUAUGAAAAUUCAGUUUUUGCAGUGAGAGUUUUGAAAACAAUCUUAAAGCUUCUACAUCAUAUACACAUAAACAUGUAGAAGUUUUAGAUGUAAUUUAAAUUAUUUAGAAAAGCCCAACAAUAAGUCAAUAGGAAGUCAAUAAUAAUAAUAAAUAAUAACAAUAUAUACAGAAAUCACUAAUUAUAAUAAUAAAUCAAUAAUAAAUUAUAGUAAUAAAUCAAUAAUAAAUAAUAAU